rnacentral:rRNA from 1 species
GACGAACCGUGCGAACGUUGUUCGGAUUCACUGGGCUUAAAGGGCGCGUAGGCGGGCGGCCAAGUCAGGGGUGAAAUCUUUCGGCCCAACCGGAAAAGUGCCCCUGAUACUGGCCGCCUCGAGGGGGGUAGGGGCAUGCGGAACUUCCGGUGGAGCGGUGAAAUGCGUUGAUAUCGAUAGGAACUCCGGUGGCGAAGGCGGCAUACUGGAUCACUUCUGACGCUGAGGCGCGAAAGCCAGGGGAGCAAACGGG